GGAGUUGACUGGAUGGUCGCUGCUUCAUUGAUGUCCUUUGGGAGACUGAUGGAGGGGAGGAAAGUCCGGGCUCCAUAGAGCAGGGUGCCAGGUAACGCCUGGGGGGCGCGAGCCCACGACAAGUGCAGCAGAGAGAAAACCGCCGAUGGCCUUCGGGCACAGGUAAGGGUGAAAGGGUGCGGUAAGAGCGCACCGGAUGGCUGGUAACAGUCUAUCGCAAGGUAAACUCCACCCGGAGCAAGACCAAAUAGGCCUUCACAUUGCGUUGCUCGCGUAUGGAGGCGGGUAGGUUGCUUGAGCCAGUGAGCGAUUGCUGGCCUAGACGAAUGGCUAUCACCGCGCAAGCGGAACAGAACCCGGCUUAUGAUGUCAACUCCACCU
rnacentral:RNase_P_RNA from 1 species